rnacentral:rRNA from 1 species
UACGGGGGGAGCAAGCGUUGUUCGGAUUUACUGGGCGUAAAGGGCGCGUAGGCGGUCAGCACAAGUCAGUUGUGAAAUCUCCGGGCUUAACUCGGAAAGGUCAACUGAUACUGUGCGUCUAGAGUGCGGAAGGGGCAACUGGAAUUCUCGGUGUAGCGGUGAAAUGCGUAGAUAUCGAGAGGAACACCGGUGGCGAAGGCGGUUCUCUGGGAAUAUCCUGACGCUGAGGAGCGAAAGUGUGGGGAGCGAACAGG